UACGGGGGGGGCAAGCGUUAUUCGGAAUUACUGGGCGUAAAGCGCGCGUAGGCGGCUUCUUAAGUCAGGUGUUUAAUGUCAGGGCUCAACUCUGGCGCUGCACCUGAUACUGGGAGGCUAGAGUACUCGAGAGGAAAGCGGAAUUCCUAGUGUAGCGGUGAAAUGCGUAGAUAUUAGGAGGAACACCAGUGGCGAAGGCGGCUUUCUGGAGAGUAACUGACGCUCAGAGCGCGAAAGCCAGGGGAUCAAACGGG
rnacentral:rRNA from 1 species